rnacentral:rRNA from 1 species
AGUGAACGCUGGCGGUAGGCCUAACACAUGCAAGUCGAACGGCAGCACAGUAAGAGCUUGCUCUUACGGGUGGCGAGUGGCGGACGGGUGAGGAAUACAUCGGAAUCUACUUUUUCGUGGGGGAUAACGUAGGGAAACUUACGCUAAUACCGCAUACGACCUACGGGUGAAAGCAGGGGAUCUUCGGACCUUGCGCGAUUGAAUGAGCCGAUGUCGGAUUAGCUAGUUGGCGGGGUAAAGGCCCACCAAGGCGACGAUCCGUAGCUGGUCUGAGAGGAUGACCACCCACACUGGAACUGAGACACGGUCCAGACUCCUACGGGAGGCAGCGGUGGGGAAUAUUGGACAAUGGGGGAAAGCCGGAUCCAGCCAUACCGCGUGGGUGAAGAAGGCCUUCGGUUUGGAAAGCCCUUUUGUUGGGAAAGAAAAGCAGCAGGUUAAUACCCCGCUGUUCUGACGGUACCCAAAGAAUAAGCACCGGCUAACUUCGUG